CUCAAGUCCCAGUCCUCACCUGUGUCUCUGCUGUCAUGUCUUGCUUACUCAAAGCUGGAGUAAUAGCAGGCAGAACAGGAGCAGGCUGAGGAUGGGCCAUUCCUUUUUUUUUUUUUUUUUAAGUAGUAAAUAGUGAUAAUAAACUACAAACCCUGAGGGAGGAAAAGUGAUGUUCAGUUGCCCCAUAAGAACCCCGUGAGCACUUGAACAAAAAGGGGUUAAUAAAAGUUACAGUCAGGUUAUUUUGGAUGGGAUUCUUGCGGAAUAUGAUUUCAUAAUCCGCUGUCUCUAGUGAACAACAAGACCUCUGUAAACACUCAAUAUUCAAAUAGAAAAUUGUUUCUUGUAGGCUUCCAUGGCACAAAAUAAAAGCGCUGUAAAUCUGGGCCUCCAUAUGUGGUUCUCAGCUGGUGUAAGUCCCUGAAUGAAUUACAUGUGAACAGAGAAAUUAAUGCUACACACAUGGUGGCCAAACUUAAAAGCAAAAAUUGCAACUGAGAAUAUGCUGCAGUAGAUUGUGAACUAUUUGAAGAUAAAUGGGAGCUUGAGUCCUUGUUGAUAUAAUGCAUCAUUGAUGCAUUUCAAGGGGUACACAACAAACACAGUGAGAUAUUACAACACUGAGAUCAACCUUAGGGGGAGUGCAAGGACCUAUGCUUUACAAUCAAAGACUGAACGUAAUGAGAAUACCAGAAGGUAAAUACACAGCGUUGACUCUUUCUCAAGAUCUUGAACAAAAAGCAAUUGGGUGAAAUACUUGCUCUUUUUAAAGAAUCCCCAGAUUUACUGUCACAGUAAAUGUGUAUCCUAUCUAGGUUUUGAAGUGAUUGCCUUCUAAAGCUGUUUUUGUUAAUCUGUAAAUACUGAUGACAAAUUACCCAAGAGUUUUUGUACUUUUGAAGCGGUUGUGAUCUUUUUGUUAUUGUUUUUUCCCCCUCUCCGGGCAGAGGAGGAGGAAAGAAUGUGCAUGUUCCAGUGAAUUCUAAAUGAGGGCUGUGCCUCCCGUUUGUAAAAACACAAGCACAGCAGUAAAAAUAAUAAAUAAAACAAAUGAGACUCUCUUUAAUCCAUUCAUGAGCUCAAGUGUUUCAAGUAGACCAUAAUAUUAAGACAAAGAGUUCUGAGAGAGAUGGAUCAGAGGGAAGGGCUGUUGCUUAAACAAUGUCAGCCUAUUUAAUUAAAUUACGUGUUUGUCAGCGCUGUAUUUUCCCAUGUCCAGGAUUCUUACUGUUGAUUCAGGGCUUAAGGCCUAAAUAGAAAGGGCAACAACUGCUGUGUAUUUGAUCCUGAACAAGCUGUGUCCUUUGAAAUGCCAGCACUCAGUGGCUGGGAGAAUGCUGGAGUGCUUUGCGGUGACGAAGGGCACUGGCAUAAGAGUUGCUGAAAAUAUGUGUCUGACAUUGCCACAGCAUCCUGAGGGUGCACAGGGACCUUCUCUGACAACUUCUAAGCCUGCUGUUAUUUCUGUAACAGUUUAUUUGUAUUUGUCACAAGGACAAAUGGGACUGGGGUAGAGGACCAAGAGCAGGGCCAGAAGCCAGGAACUCUCAACUCCCUCUUUCCUUUGUCUGAAAUGGUUUGGCAGGUUGUUUUCAUAUAUAAAAUCUAUAGCUUUGUCGUGGGCAAUUGCAAAUGCUUACUGCCUUAUGGUCAGAUUUUAAGCUGUUUUUGUAGCCAGUUUGUUGCACAAAAUAGAUGCUUGGGUUUCCCUUUUGUGGUUGGAUCUCUUCUGCUUCAGCAGGGCUGGAGGGAGCCACUGGGACUCACAGUACUACAGCUCAGGAUGAAGCAGCAGAUAAAGCUGCAAGCAUUAAGCCAGAGUAUCUGCUCUGUGUAUGUGGGGAGAGCACUCAAGCACCCAGCCACUGCUGCCAUAUAACAAGAUCUAAGAGAGAUAUGAGUAUUUUUUUCUCUUCUGUCCACCCAUACCACUUUUAUUUAAAUAAUUUUUCUGAGGACAGAAUGUGGUCUUCAGUUACGAAGAACGUGAUCUGUUCUUUGUCUCUUUGAAUCAUCUGGCAAGUCAAGCAUGACUCGUGCUGUAGCUGAAGAGUGUGCUGGCAGGGCACCCUGACUUCCAUUGCUCAGACUGGUGCCUUCUUGCAACUGCUCACAUCAGAAAACUCUGAUGAGUUGCUUUCUGAAAUUCCACCAGGUACUCUGAAAAUCUCAUUGGGUGAUAUUUGCCCAACUUGAUGUGUCUGGAUCCUCAAACACAUUUCAUUUGCAGAGGGUGCAUAUAACCUCUACCUCGUUUAUAGUUGUGUUGUACUUGAAAUGCCCAUGAAGUUCCUCUUCUAUAAGGCCCGAACAGCCCUUCCCCAGUUUGUAUGAGUGGUACAGAUUAACACUUCCUUCUGCUCACACUGAUGCUAGUGGCGUAAAAUGGGCUUAGUUCAGUGCUGUGGGAUUAUGCUCUCAAUGUCCUCAAUGCUGAGUGCAGAAUCUGACUAUUUUAGGAUAAAUUCCACAUAAAUUGUGCUUGAAAGAUCAUGAAAAAUACAAGCAUGGGCAUCAUAUUUCUUGAAAUAGACCACAUAUGAACUGGGACAAAUAAGGCAUGUUUUUAUGUGCCAGAACUGCUAAGUAUGGGGUGUAACAGAAGCAGUGUGCACUGGUUUGUUGGUUCACUGUUUGUUUGUUUGUUUGUUUGUUUUUUAGAAAGCUUUCAUUUUGGGAUUGGAUGUUCUACUCAAAGAAAUGUCUCAGUCAAAUACAGGUUAAUCAGAGAAAUGUUGUCCUUCACGUCUCUGCAGGGAUCUGAUUUCCAAGCUAACAGGUGACAGUGCUUCAAAGUCCUGCUAAGAAGUGCACCCACCUCGCUGCUGUUUGGAUCAGCCUCUGACAAUGAAUUUUUCCAUCCCUACAAGAACUGUCUUUGUUUUGCUUGAUGUUCAAGGUGAGGCAAUUUCUCUUUCUCCAGUUCUCCCCAGCCGCUGGGGGCACGGCUUUCCCUCCUGCUGAACGUGCAAUUUUAGCAGCAUUCAUGGUAGGCAAUCCCCUAAGAAGUGCUAAAACAAGUUCCAUAAAUAGGAACUUUAUGACCAGGGAAACGACUUCCUCAGGUGGAACUCUCUACUUUCCUACCAACCCAGUGCAACCAAACUGCUCCAGGGUUUUCAUGUGCCCAUAAGUAGACUUGUUUAAUUUUGUGAUUUCAGGCCAACAAAGAGUUGGACCACACAGCCUGCUCAUGGAGCUGCCUUGAUUUACCUAAACAGCCCUUGGGAUCCCAUUCCCUCUGCACUACCAGAUUCAUUUCAUUCUCCUAUCCAGUGUGCAGGAAGGGAAGUGUCAUCCUCCCCAUUUCCAGAAAAAGAAGAAGGUUAAGGAGAGGGUCCAGACCUGGGUGAGUUGGCUCAGGGAAGGACGCUAGAACUGAGUUUUCAAAGCACCAAGCUGAUCACCAGCUCACCCCUCUGCAACAGAGCAAAUGGGCUGAGAGGUGACUGAAAAUCUGCUGACAGGAAAGCCAAAGGCAGAAGUGUUUCUGUGGGAUCUAAAUAUUUAUUUUGCCAUCUUGCCUAGCUAUUUCAUGAAGGGCUCCAUUUUUAUGUGAUUCCAAAUAACAGCUGAAAUGCUUUCUUUUAAGAUAAUAAUUUCCAACACUACUUGUUUGUUUGUUUGUUUUUCCUGUGGCAAUUGUAUUUAUUUUGAUUGAAACCCUUCAUGUAUUUUUUUUUUUUAUACCUCAUGCACCUUAGAUGCCUUUCUAGCAAUUUCUGUUCAUGUUUGAACUCAUUCCGAUGUGUAUGAAGAGCGUGGCUGCUCUGAACCCACUUCCUGUUGUAAGGAUGAAUAUUAACUUUUGUUGGGUUGUUUGUUUGUUUUUCUCCAAAGUGAUUCUUUAAUUGAAAUGUUAAAUCUUUAAUGAGCUAUAUCAACCCAGAAAGAAGGGGAAAGAGACAAAAGAAAAUCCUGCACUUCAUUCCCAGGCAGAACGUGUGCUGGAGCCUGGUAUGCCAUCAGGGUGAGCUGGCAGCCCCAAACUAACAGGAACUGGUGUUCUGUUGGUCUGUGCCCCGAGCUCCAACCAGCCCUCAGCCCCUCACGUGCAGCACUGUCCAAUGUUUCUGUCAGAAACUGCCUCCAGACGUGGUCCUUUGUGCAAGUCCUUGCUCCAGCAAGGCAUUAGGUGAGCAUAUGCUGCGAGUGGGAAAAAAACCGUAUAUUGCGAAUGAAGGUUUCGUUAAUGAUGAUACAGAGCAGUCUGUGGGUGAAAGAAGGGAAAGCAAAUCCAGGAGCAGUGGACACAGCAAGGGCAGCAGCAGGAGCCGCUCUUCUCCUCUGCCUGUCUGAAGUUUGUUUGCAGAGUGAGUCCCUUUUUUGGCCUCCAAAAACCAGAAAGAAAGCAUUCACUUCCACGUAAGCUUUAAUAUUUUUAUGAGAAGGGCAGAGAAGAUCUGCUGGGAGAUAUUUUUGCCCAAACGCCUCCUGCAUCCCAUGGCUCUGCUUGGAACAGUUCUAGUUUAACCUUCCCAGAACUCUCGACCUGUGCACAUUUCCUUUUGGCAGGCAAGGUAAGGCGACCCGUGGGUAACAGCACUGUGCUGCAGACCUCGUGGUCCCGCUGAGCUCCUCCAUCCUCAGCCUCUCUGAUACAAAAGGCGAUGGUAGCCCAAAGUGCUGAGCACCAAACGUUAACAGCCUUCCCCGCUGAGCUCUAGCUAGGUCUGAGGGGGUGGACCAAGGCUUUCCUUCACCACUUUGUACUCUUUGCUUUUCGCUAGUAUAGGACGG
ensembl:lncRNA